rnacentral:lncRNA from 1 species
UUUUUGGUAGAAAUUAGAUGAUGAUGUUGCUCACUGCAAGGAUCAGUUACAAGAACUUAAAGCUCGCCCGGACUACUUAAUAAAUACAUUAAAAAACAAUCAGACGUCAAAGUUCAGUGCAGUCAGAGACAGCAGCAGAAUAAAGAGUCUGACCUUUAUAACGAGAGGGAGAGACUGAAACAAGAACUAGCAGAAGAGAAGAGAGCACAUGCUGAGAUUGAAAACUACCUCAAGAAACACAUUGAAGAUCUUGAUGGUAAGGUUGAGUACUGGAUGUCAAAGUAUGAAGAAGACUUGGAAAUGAAGACCACUGAAGUACAAGAGACUAAGUCAGCCAAAGCAGCAG